UACGGAGGGGGCGAGCGUUAUUCGGAAUUAUUGGGCGUAAAGGGCGCGUAGGCGGCCCGGUAAGUCAAAGGUGAAAUCCCUCGGCUCAACUGAGGAACUGCCUUUGAAACUGUCGGGCUUGAGGCCGGGAGGGGGUAGUGGAAUUCCCAGUGUAGCGGUGAAAUGCGUAGAUACUGGGAGGAACACCAGUGGCGAAGGCGGCUACCUGGACCGGUUCUGACGCUGAUGCGCGAAAGCGUGGGUAGCAAACAGG
rnacentral:rRNA from 1 species